UUGCCUCUUCCCUUUUCUCUUUCUCCAAUUUUAACCCUUUUCUUCUUCUUCCUUGCGCUUAGAUCUACCUUCCAUUUUACUUCGUGAUCUCAAUUCCUGGAUAAUUUCGUGAAUUCGGUUAUUCGAUCUGGAUCUGAAAAGUGAAAUUUGAAUACCUUGUUUUUUCCUUCUUUUUUGGUAGGGAAGAAAAUGAAGAAAUGUUAUUUUGAAUUUUGAAUAAAAAUUUGAAAUUUGAAAUUUUUUGCCUCAUUCACUUCAAAUUCAGUAGUGCCAAAAAAAAAAAAAUGGAUUUGGGCAACAUUUAUUUAACUUGUUCUUUAAAAUGAAAGCAAAAAAGAACAAGUCCAGUCAAUUUAGAUGAGGCUUUGUUGUUGUUGUAGAAAUGUUUCCAUCCCCGGUUUAAGCAAUGGCAUCCUUUUACAUUUUGUUGCCCCUCCCAUUCUUUAAUAGUGAUAUUUAUUCCUUUUGCAUCUUUUCGAUAAUACAUUUACUUAAUAGUCUGCAUAUUCUUAUGAUUUACUGCCUACCUCCCUGCCUUGAAGGGCACAUGACUAUGUUGCAUGGAUACGGGAUAUAUAUUCGAUGUGUUCAUAUUUCAUUGUUUAAGUUAAAUCACAAAAGAGUGAAACAUUCAUGUUUAUCUUUUAACAGUAACAAAAUAGAACACUGCUUAGUCUUUGUGAUUCUUGAGAUUGGGAGUCUUUGUGAUUCUUGAGAUUGGUCCUCCCCUCUCCCAGGACCGGAAUGAUUUUCCUUGCCCGAUGGGGCUACAUCCAUCUCUUAAUGACCUGGUGGCUUCUUCGACGGAGCUAGGCAGGGCUAGGCGAGGAUCUGUGGAGAGCUAUACUGGAAUCUGGAAUUUUUUAGAUGCAGACUGAUCGGCUCAUUCCAAGAAGAAGAUGGCUUGUAUGCAGAGUGUCGUUUUGGCAAAUUUGUCCGUUGCUGUUUGAGUUUUUUAUUCAAUCUUUUUGUUCUAAGUGCCCACUAUCUAGUUUCUUUUUUUUUAAUUAUUCACUUUUCAUUUUUAUUAUUAUUUUGUCUCUUUUAAGACCCCACUGUCUCACCAAUAAUAUCUAUAUUUUUCUCAUUUUGUUUU